GACGAACGCUGGCGGCGUGCUUAACACAUGCAAGUCGAACGGAAAGGCCCCUUUGGGGGUACUCGAGUGGCGAACGGGUGAGUAACACGUGAGUAACCUGCCCUUGACUUCGGGAUAACUUCAGGAAACUGGGGCUAAUACCGGAUAGGAAUCCUUGCUGCAUGGUGGGGGUUGGAAAGCUUCGGCGGUUUUGGAUGGACUCGCGGCUUAUCAGCUUGUUGGUGGGGUAGUGGCUUACCAAGGCUUUGACGGGUAGCCGGCCUGAGAGGGCGAGCGGCCACAUUGGGACUGAGAUACGGCCCAGACUCCUACGGGAGGCAGCAGUGGGGAAGAUUGCACAAUGGGCGGAAGCCUGAUGCAGCAACGCCGCGUGCGGGAUGACGGCCUUCGGGUUGUAAACCGCUUUCAGCAGGGGCGAAGCUUGUGGUGACGGUACCUGCAGAAGAAGCACCGGCUAACUACGUG
rnacentral:rRNA from 1 species